rnacentral:rRNA from 1 species
GACGAACGCUGGCGGCGUGCUUAACACAUGCAAGUCGAACGGAAAGGCCCUGCUUUUGUGGGGUGCUCGAGUGGCGAACGGGUGAGUAACACGUGAGUAACCUGCCCUUGACUUUGGGAUAACUUCAGGAAACUGGGGCUAAUACCGGAUAGGAGCUCCUGCUGCAUGGUGGGGGUUGGAAAGUUUCGGCGGUUGGGGAUGGACUCGCGGUUUAUCAGCUUGUUGGUGGGGUAGUGGCUUACCAAGGCUUUGAUGGGUAGCCGGCCUGAGAGGGUGACCGGCCACACGGGAACUGAGACACGGUCCAGACUCCUACGGGAGGCAGCAGUGGGGAAUAUUGGGCAAUGGGCGCAAGCCUGAUCCAGCCAUGCCGCGUGGGUGAAGAAGGCCUUCGGGUUGUAAAGCCGUUUUGUUGGGAAAGAAAAGCAGCAGGUUAAUACCCCGCUGUUCUGACGGUACCCAAAGAAUAAGCACCGGCUAACUUCGUG